ensembl:lncRNA
ACAAUCACCCACGAAAAACCCCCAUACACAAACACACCACAAAAUAAACCCAUGUCACACCCUGGCCUGACCAAAUAAAUAAAGAAAACACAAAAUACUAAGACCAGGGCGUGACAAAUACACAUAUCUUCUAUGUACAUUUAAUUUUUUUGUAAAAAAAAAACAUUCUGGCAUAGUUGAAUAUUGUAUAGUAAAAUUGUUUAAAUAAUUUUUACAUGUUUAAAAGGUCUGUACUAAAGAUUUAGUAUUAAAUAAAGGGUUUAAAAUUGUAUCUUACCUUUAAUGAAUGGAAUCUCUAUGUGUCUCUCUCUGUAUAUGUCUGUCUCCAAGAAAUGUUUUUCUCAACAUAAGAGAAAGGAUUCCGGGAAAGAUGUGUGUGUGUGUGUGUGUGUGUGUGUGUGUGUGUGUGUGUGUGUGUGUGUGUGUGUGGAAGUGUGUGUGUGUGUGUGGAAGGUCUUUGAAACCAAUGUUUUUUUCUCAUCAAUUCAACAGGUGCCCUUACACAGUAGGGGGGCUAUAUGUACAUAAGGAUACCCAAACAACAGUUGUUUUUUCCCCUGAGGAUGUCCUGACAUCUGUCUAUUGCCCACGUGAUGGGUGUGUGUGUGAGUGUGUGGGGGGGGACGGACGGACGGACGGACCUCUCACCUUCCAAAAGACUUCUUAGCAUUUCCCGGGGUGGGGUCAUUUAUAACUUGUCAAAAUUAUUUUUAUGACCAAAUUCACAUUCUUUAGUGUUGACAUACAUCUUUGUAUGAUUUCAUGACUGUUUGUAAUAGAUCCCUGAAUGGUCAAAACCUCUUCAAAUAGAAGUAUGUUUGUAGCACAAAAUAUCUUACAUGUAGGCCCUCUUUCACUCUCUCAUCAUGUCACAAGCGAACAGGCUCCCAAAGGCAGGGCCAUAAAAGGCCCCUGCCCCUCCCCUCUCCAACAGCCAUCAGCCCAGAACAGCAUGAAGACAGAACAGCUAAAAGAUCAUCUGGGAAUCCUUCCAUCCUCAUGAAGUUUUUGAAGACAAAAGACAUUGACUCCUGUGUGUUGAACCUUUUCCCACUCUACAGCCACCCUGGUUAUUAUAUGACCCUGAGGGUCAUCUACGAACAUUGGAACAUAUUGAAUAACAAUAAGUGGCACAUGUACUCUUAAAUGUCCACACAGCACAGCCCUCGGAGCAUGGUUCCUC